AUAUACAGUAUAUUUCAUUGGAUCACCAGCCAAUCAGCAUUGUCUUGACAUCAUUUUUUUAGUCCCAUGGCUGAGGUAACAAGCUCAAAAACACCCGGCGGCAGAACUGAGCACCCAUGAGCAUCUUUACUUCCGGGGGGUCCCACAACAGCUGAACAUCUGUCAUAGACAUGGAUGGGAAUGCUAACAGGCAGGACGUAUCACUGUGUUCGAAAUGGCAGGCGACUCCGAGGAUACAAGCUUGUGCUUUUCUUACUGGCUUGUCUCAGGAAAUCGGCCUUAUCAGUCUUGCCCAAGCUGCAAUACAGCAGAAUAAUUUUACAGCUGGCUGAGAAAGCCUUGGCGACCCUGGAUUGUGUGCUGUGCAGGCAAAAUUUAACCUUGGUGUCCCUUAUCAAAUUAGAACUGCCUUUUGUUUACCACCAGCUGACAGAAAGCUAUAUUUGUGACGGGCCUUUUUCUCUGAGUGAGGCCAAGUGGCAGCAGAGACGCUGAUGGAUAAUUUAUGAUUUAUGUAUGUGUGCAAACGCACCGCUAUUUGUACAGUGCUGACAUGAAACCAGGCUCUAGAGACCAUGAGAAUAUGUUUGAUAAAUAAAGUAUGUUAUACUAAAGGUAUGAGCGCUAUAUGCUGGUGAUUUUUUGAUCACUGACAGAUCAGCACCAUUCUGAUAGUGUGCAGACG
ensembl:lncRNA